ACCCUCCAAAUUCCUUCGCCCUCAGAUCUAAACAUGGGUCUGAGUGGCUGUCAAAGGAGGGAAAGUAGAACUGAUGUCGAUUUGGAUUCCUUAGUAAGAUAUAAGUUCAUUUUAAACAAAU
rnacentral:snoRNA from 1 species